GCAGCGCUCGGUCCGCAGUAGUCGCGCGGAUCGAAUCGGCGUGGAUUUUCUCGCUGCGUUCGUCAACCGAUUUUUGCUCGAACGCUUUCCAGCUUAACGGGAGAGGACGUUGACAAACGCGCGGCAUCGGGUUCGCGGUCUCGGAUUUGCUUCGUGUCACCAAAACGAAACGAAGGUGAAAUAAUCCUGCGGCCGGCUCGGAAACGUCCAGGGUCGGAAGAGGAACCGACCGAUCGACCAAUUCCUCGCUGGAGCGAUGACUGACAGAAGGACCAAUGGAAAAAUCACGACCAUAAGCGCGAGAUGCGACGACGUCGACGUCGAUGAAGCAGCGGACCUCGAGAAGGCGAUAUCGGCGACAGGCUACGGAACGUUCAACGUCCUGCUAUUGAUAGCUGCGUUGCCUGCGGCAUGGACAGGAUUGUUCGACACGACUACAACCGCCUUUAUUUUGGCUUCCGCGGAGUGUGACCUGCAACUCACGUUCUUCCGUAAAGGUGUCCUCUUGGCGUUUCCCUACAUAGGCAUAACGCUGACCAGUUUUAUGUGGGACCACGUGACGCCAUACGUCGGGGCCAGAAAUCUAUUCGUCGUGGGACUCCUGCUGGACACUGUCCUGAAUAUAGUCAGCACCGUGGUCGAUUCGUACUAUGCGUUUCUAGCGAUCAAGUUCCUGAGCGGUGUUCUCGUCGGAGGGCCGUUUUCGAUAGUGUUGGGGUACUUGUCAGAAUUUCACUCGGCGGAGUACAAAGCGGGCUUCACCAGGUGGGCAGGACUCCUCGUGAACGUGGGGAUCAUUGUCCCAGCGGUCGUUGCAUUCCUGGUCUUGCCUCUGACCUGGGAGGUCGAGAUAUUCGAUCGACGAUACAACACCUGGCGAAUCUACCUGCUGAUUUGCACGACAGUUCCACUGAUCGGUCUCCUGACAGCCAGCACCCUGCCUCAAACUCCCAAAUACUUACUGGAAAUCGGCAGGACCGAGGACGCUUUGAAUUUGCUGCGGACGACGUACGCCGUCAACAGGUGGAUGCCUGCCGAUACGUUUCCGAUAAAAAAGCUCCUCGCGCGGCAGGACGCGCAGCUAUCGCGGCGGUCCUUAUUCAAGGAGAAUUCGGAAAAAAUACGGCUCGCCUUGUACAACACCAAACAGGUAUUCUCCGGGCCGUAUCUGCGCACCGUUUCUCUCCUCGGUUUCCUCCAAUUUGGCAGCAUGCUGGCGUUCAAUACGAUGAGGCUGUGGGUGCCGCAUAUGUUCAAGAUUUUGAGCAAUUUCGACGCCGAGAGGUGGACAGAGGACCGACCGCCAACCAUGAGCGAGAUGCUGGAUCGACGGAGAACCGUGCCAGCAAGAGAUUACUUGAGCUGCCCGGAUUUCGACGACAUUUGCAUGACGUGGACAAUCAACGCGCCGGUGUAUCAGAAGUCUGCCAUGAUCGCGACGUCUGCAGUCACUGUAGCAUUCCUCGCGGGGAUAAUAACCACUACCAAGUUUAGAAAAAAAAUAUUGUUGCUCGCCGGUUUCCUGUUAUCGGUCGUAGGCAGUUUCGGAUCGAACUGGGCACAGGCUCCUCUCUACAUGCUGCUAUUGUGCAUCGCCAUUAUCGUCACGACGAGAGUAACGGAUCCACCAGCCUUAACAUCCUGACAACCUUCGGGAACCUAGGAUCCAUACUGGGAAAUCUCAUUUUUUCCGCGCUGUUAAACUUGGACAGCCUCUACGGGUUCAUUGGCCUCGGUUGCCUGAUGUUCGCCUGCUUCUGCCUGUCCUUCCUUCCAUUGGAACCAGUGAAGCCGUCGCCGAAAAGCCUCGAUCGGCCCACCGUGUGACCUGCCAACGAGGAAGACGAGACAAACCGCACGGUUGAAACCUACAAACUGCGCCAGCAGUUUUCCAUUCACCGCAUCCUGAAUCCUGUCACGGACAGGAGGGUAGCGUGCUACUUCGCGAGCUACCGUUUCUCGUCGAUGCGACAAUUUUAAUCAAUUUUUACGUAAUUUACUAGAAAUAUAUACAUAUAUAUUUUUGUAACUAUGAAACGACGCACGCUGUUCUUCCGCGCUUCGAGGCUCCACCCUUGCCGUUUCUAUUGUUCAAAGGAAACGAGAAUUCGAGAGUGUGUCGUUUUUUUACGAGGUUCGUGGAACGUCGGGUCAUUCGGACCAUUAACGAGUGCUGCAUACGAAAGGAGCGUCAAAGAAAAUUUAAUUAACGCCGUGUAUCGGUUUUGCGGAACGUUAAUAACGCAGUUACCGCGAUAAACAAACCGUGGCUGCUCGCUGCGGAGCUGGUUGCGCAAGGUGAGUCGCUGUAUCGGAAUCGAAGGUUACUUUCAGCAACGCUCGAUUAAUUUUGCGCCAACGCGAAAAGAUAAUGCAUCGUGUCAUGUCGAUUGCGAAGCGAGAGAGAGAGAGAGAGAUCGAAACGCGAGAGAUAUUUUUAACAACCCCUACGCCGUCGGUGGCCGACGGACCGCGGUAGCGGCAGGUUUAGUUGGACUAUAAAUAAUUUAAUACGUUCGAUAUGCACCUGCGACGAUUAAAGCAGGGUUAGUUUCUCUUUUUAUUCGGUCAUCGCGAAGUGCUUUCCGAGCGCGCUAAACCUCGGCUUAUCCCUUUAAACUCUCGUUUUGAACUCUACUCAGCGCGGUAUUAACGUUGUCCGAUUCACAGCAAGGUUACAAUUACGGUCGCGGAA